GAGUUUGAUCGUGGCUCAGAUUGAACGCUGGCGGCAUGCCUUACACAUGCAAGUCGAACGGCAGCAUGAUCUAGCUUGCUAGAUUGAUGGCGAGUGGCGAACGGGUGAGUAAUACAUCGGAACGUGCCCUGUAGUGGGGGAUAACUAGUCGAAAGAUUAGCUAAUACCGCAUACGACCUGAGGGUGAAAGUGGGGGACCACAAGGCCUCAUGCUAUAGGAGCGGCCGAUGUCUGAUUAGCUAGUUGGUGGGGUAAAGGCCCACCAAGGCGACGAUCAGUAGCUGGUCUGAAAGGACGAUCAGCCACACUGGGACUGAGACACGGCCCAGACUCCUACGGGAGGCAGCAGUGGGGAAUUUUGGACAAUGGGCGAAAGCCUGAUCCAGCAAUGCCGCGUGUGUGAAGAAGGCCUCGGUUGUAAG
rnacentral:rRNA from 1 species